UACCUGGCGGAUGCUUUACACCCUGCAGUCGAACGGCAGCACGGACUUCGGUCUGGUGGCGAGUGGCGAACGGGUGAGUAAUACAUCGGAACGUGCCCAGUCGUGGGGGAUAACGUAGCGAAAGCUACGCUAAUACCGCAUACGAUCUAAGGAUGAAAGCGGGGGAUCGCAAGACCUCGCGCGAUUGGAGCGGCCGAUGGCAGAUUAGGUAGUUGGUAGGGUAAAGGCCUACCAAGCCGACGAUCUGUAGCUGGUCUGAGAGGACGACCAGCCACACUGGGACUGAGACACGGCCCAGACUCCUACGGGAGGCAGCAGUGGGGAAUUUUGGACAAUGGGCGAAAGCCUGAUCCAGCCAUUCCGCGUGCAGGAUGAAGGCCCUCGGGUUGUAAACUGCUUUUGUACGGAACGAAAAGGUCCUGGUUAAUACCUGGGGCUCAUGACGGUACCGUAAGAAUAAGCACCGGCUAACUACGUGCCAGCAGCCGCGGUAAUACGUAGGGUGCAAGCGUUAAUCGGAAUUACUGGGCGUAAAGCGUGCGCAGGCGGUGAUGUAAGACAGAGGUGAAAUCCCCGGGCUCAACCUGGGAACUGCCUUUGUGACUGCAUCGCUGGAGUACGGCAGAGGGGGAUGG
rnacentral:rRNA from 1 species